rnacentral:rRNA from 1 species
GUGGGGAAUCUUAGACAAUGGGGGAAACCCUGAUCUAGCCAUGCCGCGUGAGCGAUGAAGGCCUUAGGGUUGUAAAGCUCUUUCAGCUGGGAAGAUAAUGACGGUACCAGCAGAAGAAGCCCCGGCUAACUCCGUGCCAGCAGCCGCGGUAAUACGGAGGGGGCUAGCGUUGUUCGGAAUUACUGGGCGUAAAGCGCGCGUAGGCGGACCAGAAAGUUGGAGGUGAAAUCCCAGGGCUCAACCUUGGAACUGCCUUCAAAACUCCUGGUCUGGAGUUCGAGAGAGGUGAGUGGAAUUCCGAGUGUAGAGGUGAAAUUCGUAGAUAUUCGGAGGAACACCAGUGGCGAAGGCGACUCACUGGCUCGAUACUGACGCUGAGGUGCGAAAGCGUGGGGAGCAAACAGGAUUAGAUACCCGAGUAGUCC